rnacentral:rRNA from 1 species
AAUGGCCGCAAGGCUGAUCCAGCCAUGCCGCGUGCAGGAAGACGGACCUAUGGUUUGUAAACUGCUUUUGAACUAGAGAAAACCCCUUUACGUGUAAAGGGCUGAUAGUAUAGUUAGAAUAAGCAUCGGCUAACUUCGUGCCAGCAGCCGCGGUAAGACGAAGGAUGCAAGCGUUAUCCGGAUUCAUUGGGUUUAAAGGGAGCGUAGGCGGACUUGUAAGUCAGUGGUGAAAUCUUUGGGCUUAACCCAGAAACUGCCAUUGAUACUGCAAGUCUAGAGUACAGUUGCCGUUGGCGGAAUAUGACAUGUAGUGGUGAAAUACUUAGAUAUGUCAUAGAACACCGAUUGCGAAGGCAGCUAACGAAGCUGUAACUGACGCUGAGGCUCGAAAGUGCGGGGAUCAAA